rnacentral:rRNA from 1 species
GACGAACGCUGGCGGCGUGCCUAAUACAUGCAAGUAGAACGCUGAAGAGAGGAGCUUGCUCUUCUUGGAUGAGUUGCGAACGGGUGAGUAACGCGUAGGUAACCUGCCUUGUAGCGGGGGAUAACUAUUGGAAACGAUAGCUAAUACCGCAUAACAAUGGAUGACCCAUGUCAUUUAUUUGAAAGGGGCAAAUGCUCCGCUACAAGAUGGACCUGCGUUGUAUUAGCUAGUAGGUGAGGUAACGGCUCACCUAGGCGACGAUACAUAGCCGACCUGAGAGGGUGAUCGGCCACACUGGGACGGAGACACGGCCCAGACUCCUACGGGAGGCAGCAGUAGGGAAUCUUCGGCAAUGGGGGCAACCCUGACCGAGCAACGCCGCGUGAGUGAAGAAGGUUUUCGGAUCGUAAAGCUCUGUUGUAAGUCAAGAACGAGUGUGAGAGUGGAAAGUUCACACUGUGACGGUAGCUUACCAGAAAGGGACGGCUAACUACGUG